CACAUUGCCUUUGGGGUAGCCCUGCUCCAUAAGGAGCAGUGCCUCAGCUGUUGCUGUGUACACUGCCGCUUCAAUAAAAGUUGCUAACACCUCUGUCUUGCCCUUGAAUUCUUUCCUGGACAAAGCCAAGAACCCACCUGGGCUGAGACCUAGUUUUUGCAGCUCGCCUAUCCUGCAUCACUAUGAAUGGCUCAAGUGCCAGUAGGGACACAUUUAAAGAUAGGCACACAUCUGAAAUUUCAGCUGGCUAAAGAUUAAAAAUCUGGAUUAAAAAUUAAUUUAUGAUAAAAUGGAGGGCUAAGAAAAAUCUAUCAAGUAGGAAGUAUGUGGCUGAUUUCUGUGGUUGAUUUUUUAGUUAACUCCCAAAGGGCAAUCCUCUCCCUGAGAUGAACUACUCCAGCCCACCCUUACUUCCAACUGGAGGCGAAUUGCUCUUCUCUCUUUGGAACCUUGAAAGGAUUUAGCCCUAUAAGGUUGGAGUUGCUAGGAAGAUACUCAUAGAUAUAUUUGAAAUCUCUCGUGUCACAGGCUUUGAAGAUGGCUUGCUGGUGGACAAAGCAGAAAUAAUAGCAAAGUUACACAAGUUACAUGGCACCUGCACUUGGCUGGAAAACUUGUGGCUUGGGAACUUUCUUGGGAACUUCAUUCCAUAAUAGUGUGUUACGGAUCUGCUCAGAAGAAGACUUCAUCUCCUCAAUUCACCCCUUUUUAUUUGACUUUUAAUGUUAUCUUCUGUUGGAAAUACCUUUCCUGUGAAGUUUCCCCUGCUUGCCAGUGAGAUUUGGAGAACUGACUGUGGCUUAUGUAUGCUUUAAUCUUCA